rnacentral:rRNA from 1 species
AUACGAAGGGGGCUAGCGUUGUUCGGAAUUACUGGGCGUAAAGCGCACGUAGGCGGACUAUUAAGUCAGGGGUGAAAUCCCGGGGCUCAACCCCGGAACUGCCUUUGAUACUGGUAGUCUAGAGUUCGAGAGAGGUGAGUGGAAUUCCGAGUGUAGAGGUGAAAUUCGUAGAUAUUCGGAGGAACACCAGUGGCGAAGGCGGCUCACUGGCUCGAUACUGACGCUGAGGUGCGAAAGCGUGGGGAGC